UAACUAAAUCCUGUGCUCUGUAAUUUGAUCCUUAUGCUGAGUAUCCUGGCUUGUGCUGAAGCUAUCUACAUGCUCUCCGGAUCUCCACCUGAGCCUACUUACAGGAACACACCAAAAUCUAUUUCCUGCAACUUUUUGUUAUUUCUUAUGCUUGCUACAAAUAUCUUUGUCUCCUCAGCAUUUACUUAAGCUUAUAGGCUCACAGAUUGUGCUCUUCAGAAUUCCCCUGCCGUGCCUGUCAGCAGCUCCUCUGCUAUACUCACAGCCUGCACUUCCUGUUUGGCGAUACCGGACUCCAGGUAACAGCUGCUUUUCCUCUAGCAGAAUCUUUCACCAGACUACAGGAUUAAAGAUUUAUCAAGAAGAAGAGGGAGAAUUCUCAGAUACAUUAGGCCAAUAUCUAUGGCAACACCACAGAGCCAUUGCUCUUACCCUCCACUCCCAAUGAGCCUUCUCCGUGAUACGCAUUUCGAGGAUGAGUCAGGGAGCCAAUCAGAGGUCCCUGAUGAUUUCCAAGCCGAAAGAGAAGAAUCCAUUGGCGAGGAUCCUGCCCCAGCCAUAUCGCCAGCGUUGUGAGAUGAUGAGAUGCUGAUCAGGGGACCCAAACUGACCCCAUCCUGCCACAAUUAUUUGGGCAACUAGCUGAUGGCCUACAGAAUGUUGUCGGCACAAUCAAUCAGUUACAGGAGGCAAUACGUGGCUUUAUUUGAUUGUUUUAUUUUUUGGUUUAUAGCUCGUUUUUAUUCUAUUUUAUGGUUCGGUUAAAAAAAUAAAAUGUUUAUAGUAAAAAAAUAAAUCUAAAAAUAAUAGUG